rnacentral:rRNA from 1 species
UACGUAGGGGGCAAGCGUUGUCCGGAUUUAUUGGGCGUAAAGAGCGUGUAGGCGGCCAAACAGGUCAGCUGUGAAAACUCGAGGCUCAACCUCGAGACGUCGGUUGAAACCGUUUGGCUAGAGUCCGGAAGAGGAGAGUGGAAUUCCCGGUGUAGCGGUGAAAUGCGCAGAUAUCGGGAAGAACACCCGUGGCGAAGGCGGCUCUCUGGCCCGAUACUGACGCUGAGGCACGAAAGCGUGGGGAGCAAACAGG